rnacentral:lncRNA from 1 species
AGAAGCUCCAGCAAAGAAGUGCGGGAUGCUGGUGCCGUGUGAUGAGACCAGAUUGCAGUCAGGAGAGAGACCGGAGAGAGCUCUACAGUUGGUCAGACUCACGGGCUCCUGUGUUCUCUGCCCGCCACCCAGGGCCACUCGAGGAAGCACUGGGGUUGGCCACAAGGCAGAGGGAGAAAGUGACCUAUGGGCAAGCGCCUGGUGGCGGUUUCCACAAGAAGGAACAGGCAGAGCAUUUCAAUCUCUUAAGAGAAAGAGGAGCCAGAGACAGAAGAAUCCUGGGCCCCAGAGUCACCCAGGAACCUUAUUCCUGCUCACCAACCAGGAACAUUUGCAUUGGACUGUCACGUGAACAAAACAUAAACUAGACCUCUACAUUUGGACAUUUCCUCACGGUAGGUCAGUCUAAAGGAGGACUGGAAUCAUACCCACUGGAGUCAGACCGCAGCUGAAGCUGGUGCCAAGGACCUGGAAGGAGAAGAAAGCGCAAAGUGAGACAAACAGGCUGCAGCCAUGUUGUCACAAUACAGAACAUUUAUCACUCAAAGGGGGAGAUAUAUCAAGAGACCCUUAAAACAGCAACUUAAAAUGUUGAGAGAAAAAACUACUUAUCUCCUUCACUACACGUUUCCCUUAAAAUAUGUCCAUUGGGAUGGGGAGGCAUUUGGAAAUGACCAUGGCCUAAAAGUUGAGUGCUAAAAGAGAAAAUGCCACCCAAGGCCCAAACCUGCUGCUGACAACCUUAGUUUUCAGUUUCCCUUGGGCAAUCAAUGAUUGCCCUACAACUGGGAAAGACUGGGGAAUUAAAUGCUAAGUAUUACUCUCCUCAUUUCCAGGAGCUCACUAGGGAACCCCUGCUCAGAACAUCACUCCUAAUAGGCAGUGCUAACAGUGGGAGCCAACAGCAACAGGGCUUUCUGGGCAAUGCAACUGAUAGGCUACAGGAAAUAGACGGCCCCAAGGAGACCAAAGUCCAUGUAGGUGACAGGCCUGCCUUCUGAAAGAUAGGCCUGAAAUUCAGUCUAAAAGUAAAUGUCAGGUCUGAUUGUAUCAGUGGACUUAAUUGACACUGGCCAGUUAACAUUUAGCCAUUAGCCUUUAGGAUAAGUUAACUCUAAAACAGUCAAAAAGAAGCUUCUAAAUAAAUAGCAACUACCCCACUCCCAAAUCAAAUGUCCAUUAAGACUUACACAUAAAAUCACACACAAAUAUACAUAAUUACCCACUGUUCUCAGGCCCAUACUAAUAUGUUUGUUGACACAAAGCAUCCAGGGAUAUAUGAAAAUCCAGACACAUUUGGGAUCUACCACCUGGGUUAAUCACCUUUACAAUAAUAUAAUUUUUAUUGUAAUGAUUCGUGAACACUUUGGAUAAAGCACUUUGUAAGUCAUAUUAGGAAGCACUUUGGGUAAAGAAGUAACGAGCUAUCUAUCCCAUCCCUUGGCUUUUACUUCCAAUCUAAGGAAAAUGGUGACCAAAUACCAUCCAACUGUGAACUUAUAGGAGACAGACAUGCUAAGGGCUUAUUGGUGUUUCCGCUUAAACCAUGAUUUACCGUGAGAUGAGAUUUUCACGAAUUGUUGGAUUCACUUCUUAAAUAUGUAUAUAUAUGAUGAGUAUCAUUCUAAGGAGAAGGCUGCACAGCUUUUGAGAGUAGCAUUCUCUUGUAAAAGGCGAGGAACUGUGUGUAUCAGACAGGAAUUGUGUAUCUGUUGGGUGAUGAGCUUUCAUGGGCCAAGGAGCUGGAAAUCUGGGGCCUCGAUCGAGGGCAAUUUGGAAGACCAAGCUGUGAGCCCCCAGAAUAUACCUGCCAAAUAGGGAGAGUGGGCCUACCUUAACGCAUUUAGACCACAGGCAAAUAGAAGUAGAGCAAGAGCAUCAGUACAGGCAUCAUGGGCUGUCUGCCUCAUGCUGCAUUCAAUAGUAUUGGAGUGAAGGGACACAACUGUGCUUUCAAGGGACAGGAAGUCAGGAGGCAACUGACUCAGUUUCAUGAGUUCCAUUUUAGAUUUUCCCCAGUUGUCUUCUCCUACCACAUAAAAGCGCCAGUGUCUCCACCUCCCCAGUGCAAGAGCCAAGAGAAAUUCUAUGUGAGGACUAGUUUGUUCCUAGUGAAGACAGCCAAGCAGGUUGAGAAAUCACAUCCUGUACUGAUGCAUGAAUAAGGAACUUGGAAUAGGGACACAGCUAGUUGUUAAUCUUGUCUUAACCAGACAGUUUGAAUGUGCAGCAGAAUUUUCAUCAGAUCUAUGGAUCGUGCCAAUGUAAAAAAAAACAGGCAAGCUUUGCAGGUUAGAUCAUUGCCCUAAUAGCAUCCAUCAACGUGGAGUCUUCUGAUAGACUGCAAAUCGACAACGUACACAAAGAAGGAUUUCAACCUUCCUCCUGCUCACCUCAAGACUAGAAGACACAGGGAGCAAGGCCAGGAUUUCUCAGCUUCAGCACUAAUGACAUGUGGGGCUGGAUCACUCUCUGUUGUGGGGACUGUCUUGCGCAGUGUGGCAUGUUUAGCAGCAAUCCUGUGGGUAGAGAAAUCUUCUAACCACUAGAUGCCAGUAGCACGAGUGAGCACCACCCCUCCACACAACUUGUGACGGCCAAAAACAUCUCCAGACAUUGCCAAAGGCCCCAGGGAAGAAGGCAGCACAGGAAAUCACCCCAGAUGUGAACCAUCAUGUCGGACUGUGAAUAACUGGAGGGGUGUUUUCCACUUUGUGUUCCUGGUAACUAAAACAGGACUCAUACAUUAAGUGUUUAAUAAACAUUUGGUGAAUGAUUAGGUUGGAGACCCAGCAGGUAAAGCAAAGAAUAAAGGAAACAAACUUAUAAAGAAAGCAGAGCCAGGGGAUAAGUUUGCUGACAAGAGCAUAUAAUUUAUUCUUGAGGAGUUGCAUUUUUAAAAAACAUUUCUAAUUGACAUGGUUUGUUUUUAUAAAUAGAAC